UCACCCUGCAUGCGCCCGAUCUCGUCGGAUCUCGGAAGCUCAGCAGGGUUGA
rnacentral:rRNA from 1 species